GACGAACGCUGGCGGCGUGCCUAAUACAUGCAAGUCGAACGCAGUGGGGACGGGUGAGUAACACGUGGGUAACCUCCCAUCAGAGGGGAUAACACUUGGAAACAGGUGCUAAACCGAUACUGAUGGAUGGACCCGCGGUGCAUUAGCUAGUUGGUGAGGUAACGGCUCACCAAGGCCACGAUGCAUAGCCGACCUGAGAGGGGGAUCGGCCACACUGGGACUGAGACACGGCCCAGACUCCUACGGGAGGCAGCAGUGGGGAAUAUUGGGCAAUGGGCGAAAGCCUGACCGAGCAAUGCCGCGUGAGUGAAGAAGGUUUUCGGAUUGUAAAACACUGUUAGUAGGGAAGCGGUAUCUACACAGAAAGCAACGGCUAACUACGUGCCAGCAGCCGCGGUAAUAC
rnacentral:rRNA from 1 species